CACUAGCCUCUAAAUUAUUCACUUUUAUAUAUUCUGUUCUUUCGUGAUGUAGGUGACCUCCGCUACCAAUUAAAACAUCACGAUAUCAAGGAAACAUGGCUAAUUGUAAUAGUCAGGCCGAGCAAACCACAAGAACUUCUGUCGUUUUUUCCCUGGAUCUUCACCACCACUGGAUGAAGAAGCUCUCCUUGCUGGUGCUGCACUAACAGGACUUGUGCCACACACAUCAGGAACUGUCUUUCUAACUUUAGGCACUGAUACCUGAUGGAGACCUCAUACAUUUAUUGAUUUCUUUGAUGACACUGUACUAAAUGCAUACGUUAUGUUUGGUGGUAGGAUCAUUAUGAAUGGUGAGUUGGAAGAGACAUGGAAGGUAGCAGUUCUGACCUAUUUGUCGGAACUAUCUUGGCAUUAAAAUGGAGACUAGAGUAAA